AGGGUUCGAUUCUGGCUCAGGAUGAACGCUGGCGGCGUGCCUAACACAUGCAAGUCGAACGGACCCAUGGAAAUGAUUAGCUGCUAUGAAAUUCCGGAAGGUUAGUGGCGGACGGGUGAGUAACGCGUGGGCAACCUGCCUGUACUGGGGGAUAGCAGCUGGAAACGGCUGGUAAUACCGCAUAAGCGCACAGUACCGCAUGGUACAGUGUGAAAAGCUCCGACGGUACAGGAUGGGCCCGCGUCCGAUUAGCCAGUUGGCGGGGUAACGGCCCACCAAAGCGACGAUCGGUAGCCGGCCUGAGAGGGCGGACGGCCACAUGGACUGAGACACGGCCCAGACUCCUACGGGAGGCAGCAGUGGGGGAUAUUGCACAAUGGGGGAAACCCUGAUGCAGCGACGCCGCGUGGGUGAAGAAGUAUUUCGGUAUGUAAAGCCCUAUCAGCAGGGACGAUAAUGACGGUACCUGAGUAAGAAGCCCCGGCUAACUACGUGCCAGCCGCCGC
rnacentral:rRNA from 1 species